GUUGCCUGGAAUUAUUAUUGAAGAAUUUCGAUUAACUUUGUGUUCAAUGCAAAAUUGAAGUUUCACAUCAGAACAUCAAAAAAACAAUAAUUAAAUUUACAAAAAAUAAAUAAUAAAAAUUUAACGAAAAAUAGACUAUAAGCUAAACAAGAACUAAAAACGCUGACCUUCAACAUCUGCCGUCCAGCCGAGCGCUAUACCGGGGCUGCCAAUAAGCUGAUCACGUACAGAGACCGAGAGAUUUGGUGCAAUACCGUAAGUUCAAUAUGAAUGAUACCGAAGCUGAAAUCAAAACUGAGGUCAAGGAAGAGAAACCCACUUUGAUGACGAAGCUGACGAAUUCCAUUACAUCACUAACCAAUAGAGAUGGUCGAUUUCAAAUGAGCGAAAGCAAUUGGUCGCUUUUAAAGUGCACGCUCGUCUUUCUGUUCGGUGUUGUCUUGACCAAGAAAAUGCAGAAGGUGGUCAAUGAAAUUAUGUGAAGUUGCCUUGUAAUGCGUGCGAACAUGAAAUACAGAUAAUUGUCCAACUGAAA